rnacentral:ncRNA from 1 species
GUGAUACAGUAAUUUGUAAAUAAAAUAUGUUAUAACAUAUCAUAUUUAGGGAAGUUAGUGAAAAUCUAACACAGAGCCGCUACUGUAAAAGAGGAGUCGCAAAAAUAUACCACUGGUGUAAACUGGGAAGGUUUUUGCAGGCAUAGAUACUUAAGUCAGGAUACCUAUCUAUAAUAUGGCAAGAUU